GCCCACAUAGCUCAGUAGGUAGAGCACGUUCUUGGUAAGAACGGGGUCAUCAGUUCGAAUCUGAUUGUGGGCUCCA
rnacentral:tRNA from 14 species